ACUCCUACGGGAGGCAGCAGUGGGGAAUAUUGGGCAAUGGGCGCAAGCCUGAUGCAGCAACGCCGCGUGAGGGAUGACGGCCUUCGGGUUGUAAACCUCUUUUAGUAGGGAAGAAGCGAAAGUGACGGUACCUGCAGAAAAAGCACCGGCUAACUACGUGCCAGCAGCCGCGGUAAUAC
rnacentral:rRNA from 1 species